AGUUCGGGCCCUGGUGCCAGUGCUGGGGCGGCAAGGGCCGCCCUCACCAGCGCGAAGUUCCGUGGGUUUCACCAAGAGCUUCCCACCAUUGCCCAGGCUUUGAAAGCAUUUUCGGAACUAAUGGUGAAGAUUCAGAAGUGCCUUCCCAAGCCUGAAAGAUUGGAACCCAAUCAGUCAGGCAGUGGGUUCGGAGCUGAUGACCACAUGCCCUGGCCCCAGGCGAGGCACCCAGGGGAUUCAGAAUAACUGUGAGAAUGAUUCCUACUCUCCACGGGGGACAGAACCCACCAACCAGUGACAUCCUUCUGCCUGCCUAGAGGUAACCACAGUCCUGACUUUUGUGGUUCAAAGCAAGUGCUGGUAACCUCUUGGGGCUGUCAGCACCACUGCUUAGUUAGUAGCAGACAUAAUGUCAGGUCGCAGUCUCAAAUGUCGGUUCUUGGUGGGCUCUUGGCUGAAGAACAGACA